rnacentral:lncRNA from 1 species
UUUCAAACAACUAUGAAGUGAGUGGAUGUUCUAGAGAGACUAAUUCUUCAAAGAAUAAAUGCUCAUCAUCAUCCUUAUAUUGGAAUAAAAGGAAGGAAGUGACAGCUACAGUCAUGGUAAAAGUAAAUGCAGUCAGAAGACCUCUGAUAUCACCUGAAAAGUCAGCCUUCUCAAGAUUCUGUAUCAAAUAAAAAUAACAAGGACUGUUAAAAAGACUUUUUAUAACUUGCAAAUGUGCAGUCUGUGACAUAACUGUCUGAUCCAGGUAGUUAAGUGUUGACAAGAUGACAUUUCAUCUCUAUAGUAGAGGACACAAGUUUGAAAUGCAGUAUGUCAUUGUGAAGGCAAAAUGUUUAUGAAAAUAGUGUGUGUGUUUUCCAAAUAGAGAGGCUGCAAGUGGGGACUCAUCAAUUAGUGUUUUUGGAAUAAGUUAUGGACAUCUGAAUAGUGAAGAUCUGUCCCUUUUUUGGAUUGCCACAGACCAAACUAAUGAUUGGUGCCUUUGACAUAAAUAGAAGAACUCACACUGGACACCCUGAAGAUGGAAUUAUGU